rnacentral:rRNA from 1 species
UACGUAGGGGGGCGAGCGUUAUCCGGAUUUAUUGGGUGUAAAGGGUGCGUAGACGGUUUAGCAAGUUGGUUGUGAAAUCCCUCGGCUUAACUGAGGAACUGCAACCAAAACUGUUGAACUUGAGUGCGGGAGAGGAAAGCGGAAUUCCUAGUGUAGCGGUGAAAUGCGUAGAUAUUAGGAGGAACACCAGUGGCGAAGGCGGCUUUCUGGACCGUAACUGACGUUGAGGCACGAAAGUGUGGGGAGCAAA